rnacentral:rRNA from 1 species
CUAACAGAUUUACUUCGGUAAUGACGUUAGGAAAGCGAGCGGCGGAUGGGUGAGUAACACGUGGGGAACCUGCCCCAUAGUCUGGGAUACCACUUGGAAACAGGUGCUAAUACCGGAUAAGAAAGCAGAUCGCAUGAUCAGCUUUUAAAAGGCGGCGUAAGCUGUCGCUAUGGGAUGGCCCCGCGGUGCAUUAGCUAGUUGGUAAGGUAAAGGCUUACCAAGGCGAUGAUGCAUAGCCGAGUUGAGAGACUGAUCGGCCACAUUGGGACUGAGACACGGCCCAAACUCCUACGGGAGGCAGCAGUAGGGAAUCUUCCACAAUGGACGCAAGUCUGAUGGAGCAACGCCGCGUGAGUGAAGAAGGUUUUCGGAUCGUAAAGCUCUGUUGUUGGUGAAGAAGGAUAGAGGUAGUAACUGGCCUUUAUUUGACGGUAAUCAACCAGAAAGUCACGGCUAACUACGUGCCAGCAGCCGCGGUAAUACGUAGGUGGCAAGCGUUGUCCGGAUUUAUUGGGCGUAAAGCGAGCGCAGGCGGAAGAAUAAGUCUGAUGUGAAAGCCCUCGGCUUAACCGAGGAACUGCAUCGGAAACUGUUUUUCUUGAGUGCAGAAGAGGAGAGUGGAACUCCAUGUGUAGCGGUGGAAUGCGUAGAUAUAUGGAA